CUUCUUCCUUCCCUGCCUCUUCUUCUUCACGGCAGCAACAGCCAGCAGGGAGCUUCCUCCCCUCCCAUGGCCGCCCAGCUUCCCUCCGGUGUCGGCUGUCCAGCAGAUGUCGAGCGCCUCCCUCUGCCCCCUGUGCUUGGCGCUCCCCCCCUCGGCUCCUUCCUGCAUGGACGAGCUCCAUCUCUGCAGCAGCCGAGCACCUCCACAACCAUGGCGUCCCCUGCCCUUCUCCUCCCAUGGAAGCGAGCCCCACUUCCCCUGCAGGCGAGCAGCAACUUCGGCCAACAGAGGACAGCGACUCCCCUCUCCCAGCUCAGCCUCGCCAUCACGCAGGGAAUGGAUGGCGCCCAGAAAAUCCACGCAGCCGGCCCCCUUCCUCCCUGCGCCUAGCUCUCCUUUCUACUACGCAGCAUCUCCCUCCCCCAAGCCCCUGCGCGCGCACAGCAGCGGAUCCCCAGCGCCCUCCCUGUUCAUCUUCCUCGCAGUCAGCCUCCCUCCCCGGCUGCUGCUCGUCCCCUCCAUCCUUUUUCCCCUAGUGCGGCAGCGAGGAGCCCCUACUCGGUCAGCUGCCAUGGCGUCCAAGUUUUCUGCGCAGCAAUGCCGGUUCAAAAAAAACAGCAGCCAUGAGAUCCCGUCCGUAUCGCUUGCAUUGACCCGAUUUGCGCAGCGCCUGCGCGCCGUCGUCGAAACCCGUGCUAGCCGUCAAUGCCAGUCGUCGCGCACGCGUGUUCGAUACAAGACCGGUCGGGUGCACCACGUGCUUGCACAACUCAAAUCCAAUCCCGUUCAGGACCGAGAGAUGAUGAUCGAGCCAUUGAUGUGGUGCCAACCACAAGAUGCAGUUGGUGGACGACCUGAAGAAUGGUGGACUUACCCAGUAGAUGCUCGCCAAGCGAGUACCUCCCCCAGCAAACACUACCUAAGUGUUAAAAAGGAGAAGAACAGGUAAUCGAAGAGGAGCCACCUAACACUGAGGCUUUCGACUUGAUCUAGGUGGCGUCUCCCAGUCAGCUUUGUGGCGCCAG
rnacentral:misc_RNA from 1 species